CCUACGGGAGGCAGCAGUAAGGAAUAUUGGUCAAUGGAGGCAACUCUGAACCAGCCAUGCCGCGUGCAGGAUGACGGCCCUAUGGGUUGUAAACUGCUUUUAUACAAGAGAAAACCCUGGUACGUGUACCAGGUUGAUAGUAUUGUAAGAAUAAGCAUCGGCUAACUUCGUGCCAGCAGCCGCGGUAAGACGAAGGAUGCAAGCGUUAUCCGGAUUCAUUGGGUUUAAAGGGUGCGUAGGCGGACUGAUAAGUCAGUGGUGAAAUCUCUUUGCUUAACAAAGAAACUGCCAUUGAUACUGUCGGUCUAGAGUAUAGAUGACGUUGGCGGAAUAUGACAUGUAGUGGUGAAAUACUUAGAUAUGUCAUAGAACACCGAUUGCGAAGGCAGCUAACGAAACUAUAACUGACGCUGAGGCACGAAAGUGCGGGGAUCAAACAGGAUUAGAUACCCUGGUAGUCCGCACCGUAAACGAUGAUUACUCGUUGUUGGCGAUAUGACAGUCAGCGACCAAGCGAAAGCGAUAAGUAAUCCACCUGGGGAGUACGCCGGCAACGGUGAAACUCAAANAGAGUAGAGNGNGAGAGNGCGAGGACGACACGAGGGAGAGG
rnacentral:rRNA from 1 species